rnacentral:rRNA from 1 species
AUGGGCUUGGUCCGUCGUACAACCGCGGAGAUGAUAGUAUGCCAGCAGUAUGUUUUCUUUCUCACGGUCGGCGAUGUGUGUGGAAAAUAUGAUUUAUCUCCGGUUGGCGUUCCGGCAAGUCCCUAUAUGGGUUUGGUCCGUCGUACAACCGCGGAGAUGAUAUUAUGCCAGCAAUAUGUUUUCUUUCUCACGGUCGGCGUCCCGGCAAGUCCCUAUGUGGGCUUGAUGGCGCAUGGUGAGGGGCCUGUUCCUUUCAAUGAACUGUCGAUUUGUCAGUUAGCUGAGCGGCAUCUAUAUGGGCCUAAUACUAGUGAAGAGGUCAACCCAGUGAUCGGACAGCAGGUGCUCGCACAUGCGGAUUUGACGCGCCAUCCUCGUGGUUGGAAUGUGGGGUCUACUCUUAGUGACUAUUCUUUUCAUCCACAAGCACCUUAUCCUAAACCUGAUCAUGAAGCCUACACCCUAGGGAUCAGGAUGGUAGCAAAAGGUCUAGGUUGGGAUGGUCACACAGUCGAUUAUGUUCCGCAACCCAAUGGCUAUGUUGAGUGGGGCAUCUCUAUAUUGAAUAACCACUCGUUUUGUUUGAAAGGAAAAGCGGAGAACACCGAUUACAUAUAUGGGGCUAUUUAUUGCUCCCUCGGUGAGUAUGAAGUUUCAGAUUCGCUACUGAGGUCACUACUGGAAAGAUGGGAUCCAGAAACAAAUACUUUUCUUUUUUCAUCUGUGACUCUGCUUGACAUGCUUCUAAUGUCAGGUCUUCCUUCAGUUGGAGAUCCAUACGAGGAAUAUGUUCCCUCUAUAGAUGACCUAGAACCUUCAAAGCUUAUGUUCCCAAAUUUCUUAUCUGGCCUUUUAGAAGAAUUCUCUUGGCUCAGCCGCGAAAAUGGAAGUGUGACUUUUCAAGUUUGGUGUGACCAUUUCCAUAACAAACGCGAACGCACUUCAUCUUUCACCUCCCUUCGGGAACAACACAUGUAUGUUGCGGCUUUUAUAGCCCACUGGCUUUGCUCUUACGUGGUUGUUGGUGGGGGGCCUUACAUUCGUCCCGGUGUCCUUCUUAUGGCCUCUUGGAUCGUUUCGGGUCGCAAGAUCUCUUUGGCUCCCUCAGCACUUUGUUCAUUGUAUUAUUCUCUUCGAAGGAUCAGUAUGCACCCCGUUGCUCCCUCUUAUGAGAAAAGACUUUGGCCAGUGCAUUAUAUCGCGGGGUGGAUGGGUCUCUAUUUGAGAAAACCAUUUACGGACAAAGUGAAAGGGAAACAUCUUCUAGAUGUUAAGCAAUUGCCGAUGCAACCAACCAUGGUUAAAACUAUGUUUCGGGUUCCCGUAACUUUCACUCCUGCUAAGGCACGCAUUUUCCUUGAUGACCGAGCCAAUAUUUUUUGGAAUCCUUAUACUCCAAAGAACUUGGUCGGGGUGGAUCAGUUGCAAAGAUCUUUCACCAUUUCUUCACAUCAGGGUAUGCUUCCAUGGGGGCGUGCUACUGAUGUUGAUGAUCUUUGCAUAGCGGAGCCAUAUCAUCCUGGUCGAGUUGCACGACAACUUACUUUGAGACAACAAGUGCCCUAUGCUCCGUUAGUCAGCGUGUACACAAAGAAGGAUAUUGGAGUUGCAUAUGUGUAUUGGUCGCAUUUGAUACGCUCGGACCAAGGAGAGUUCCAGUACCUUCUUAACGAUGCGCAUGAGGCAUUUUCUCCUGUGGCCUGGAACAACUGGUGGGUGGGAUUUAUGAAACCAUUUAACAACAUAUUCAAUACUCUUCGUAUGGGCAUUUCGAAUGGUCCGAAUUAUAAUCCGCGGAAACGUAAUUUUCUUAAACACGGAGAGGAGUACAUAGUUCCUCGCAAGCUUUCAGAAAAUGAUUUUGUUGUUAUAAAGGAAGUCUCGGCCAGGGAAGAAGCGAAUUUUAAGGAUGCUGUCGCUACUCAACCCAUGAAAUCUAUAGAGCAAAGUGGCGUACCAAAGUCUGUUAUUGUACUUGGUUCUUCCUCUGCUCAUCCAUUGCUAGUGGCUAGUGAUGAUCUUCCGGAAACUGCCCCGGCCACCGGCGGACAGAAGCGUAGAAAUUUCUUGCCCACUCAUGCUGACGAGGAAGAGAGGCUCCCCCUCAAGCGCAAACUUGAUUUUUCUGAAAAAUAUGAUUUUUCUGAACCAAUAACCUUGGACGGUCCGUCAUUAGAUGUUGAACUCAGUAGCCUUGUUAAUGAUGAAGAUUUUGGCCAUGUUCUCACAGGAGAAAAGGACCAUGGCCUUGGUGACCUUUUCGAUUUAUCCUUCAAGGAUUAUACCAUUGGCGAGUGUGGCACAAGUCGUCCACCUUCCAGCCCGGGACUGAACGACUCUACCUUUGGUGAUCCCGAGCGACGCAUCAUGCUUGAGAGUGUUUCUCAAAUGCUGCCCACGCAAGUGCCUGAGGUAGCUAAGGUGCAGGCCAUUUUGGUCGGGCUUAUUGACCUUUCCAAGAAGUUGGAGGGUGGCCAGACCAAAUUCACGAGGGAAUCCGAGCGAGAUGAACAUGGUCUUGCUGAAGUAGAACUUAAGAUUAAGUCUGGACAUGAGGUUUCCAAGGCCAUAAUUGAGGACUUACCUGCCGUAGAAAAGAAGUGCACUGAAAUAGAGGCACGGGAAGCAGAGUUGAAGGCCCAGCUUGAAGAGGUUACUGCUAUUUUGGACAGGCUUAAAUUGGAAAUGGAACAGCGCCGACAAGCACAUGAUGCUCAUCAAUCUGAACAGAAGAAGUUGGUGAAGAGUCUACAAGAUACCAAUGCUGGCAAAUGUACAAGGCUUGCUGAAUUUAAACAAAAGACAGCAGAUUUAAAGACUGAAGCAAGUCAGUUGUUGAACAGCCUGCAGAACUGGCGAGCUCCUUGA